rnacentral:rRNA from 1 species
UACAGAGGUCUCAAGCGUUGUUCGGAUUCAUUGGGCGUAAAGGGUGCGUAGGUGGCGCCGUAAGUCAGAUGUGAAAUUUCGGAGCUUAACUCCGAAACUGCAUUCGAUACUGCGGUGCUUGAGGACUGGAGAGGAGACUGGAAUUCAUGGUGUAGCAGUGAAAUGCGUAGAUAUCGUAAGGAAGACCAGUGGCGAAGGCGGGUCUCUGGACAGUUCCUGACGCUGAGGCACGAAGGUCAGGGGAGCAAACGGG